UUCUACCAUCCCUAACUAAAUUAAUGUAAAUAAAUAUAUAUAGAAUUAUUUGAUAGAUCAUUUUGCACUCACUUAAAUGGGUGUAGUUCUAUAAUACAAGUGAACACGGACGAUAAACAAAAUUAAUGUAGAUAAAAAAAAGACAUAUAUAUAAGUCCUUUUUUUAUAGGCUCACUGUACAUAUAUCAAGACUAUAUAUGGGUCGAACGUACCUCAGACCUUUCUUCUUCAUUAGGCCUCAGAGUUUGUAGUACGAGUGUUAGAGUGUACAUUAACUAAGCCUUUUGUAUUUUAGAAUGUUAGGCAAAAUCAUAAAUCAUCAUUCUUCAUAAAUAUUAUCACUAAAAUCUAAUCAUAUCUAGCAAUCACAUUUUUAGCUACAUCCGAGGUCAAUCCUUUCCUGCGUUCUUAAUUAAUGAGACUCCCAAGUUCUGUGUUGUGUCUCCUUGGGGGCGUGAAUGUCAGGGGAGACUAAUUGAUUCAGAGUUUGCUGGUGAGAGGGAUGAGGAAAUGGAGGUGCUGGUUAACUCUUGCAUGAGGGAUUGGGACAGUAUAGGGAUGAAGGAAUGAAGGUGCUGGUUAACUCUUGCACGAGGGAUUGGGACAGUAUAGGGAUGAAGGAAUGAAGGUGCUGGUUAACUCUUGCAUGAGGGAUUGGGACAGUAUAGGGAUGAAGGAAUGAAGGUGCUGGUUAACUCUUGCAUGAGGGAUUGGGACAGUAUAGGGAUGAAGGAAUGAAGGUGCUGGUUAACUCUUGCAUGAGGGAUUGGGACAGUAUAGGGAUGAAGGAAUGAAGGUGCUGGUUAACUCUUGCAUGAGGGAUUGGGACAGUAUAGGGAUGAAGGAAUGAAGGUGCUGGUUAACUCUUGCAUGAGGGAUUGGGACAGUAUAGGGAUGACGGAAUGAAGGUGUUGGUUAACUCUUGCAUGAGGGAUUGGGACAGUAUAGGGAUGAAGGAAUGAAGGUGCUGGUUAACUCUUGCAUGAGGGAUUGGGACAGUAUAGGGAUGAAGGAAUGAAGGUGCUGGUUAACUCUUGCAUGAGGGAUUGGGACAGUAUAGGGAUGAAGGAAUGAAGGUGCUGGUUAACUCCUGCAUGAGGGAUUGGGACAGUAUAGGGAUGAAGGUGCUGGUUAACUCUUGCACGAGGGAUUGGGACAGUAUAGGGAUGAAGGAAUGAAGGUGCUGGUUAACUCUUGCAUGAGGGAUUGGGACAGUAUAGGGAUGAAGGAAUGAAGGUGCUGGUUAACUCCUGCAUGAGGGAUUGGGACAGUAUAGGGAUGAAGGAAUGAAGGUGCUGGUUAACUCUUGCAUGAGGGAUUGGGACAGUACAGGGAUGAAGGUGCUGGUUAACUCUUGCAUGAGGGAUUGGGACAGUAUAGGGAUGAAGGAAUGAAGGUGCUGGCUAACUCUUGCAUGAGGGAUUGGGACAGUAUAGGGAUGAAGGAAUGAAGGUGCUGGUUAACUCUUGCAUGAGGGAUUGGGACAGUAUAGGGAUGAAGGAAUGAAGGUGCUGGUUAACUCUUGCAUGAGGGAUUGGGACAGUAUAGGGAUGAAGGAAUGAAGGUGCUGGUUAACUCUUGCAUGAGGGAUUGGGACAGACAGCAUAAGGAUGAUCUAGAUUUGAAGGCUUAAUGGGAGUGUGGAAGGGUUGAAGGUGUGAUGUUAACAGAUUCAGAAUAUACGAAUAAAAGAAAAUAUUAAGAUAGAAAAGCAACAUUGUGGUUGAACAAAAUGUGCCUUGGGAUAUAUUGCAGCCAUGAGAUAUGAGGGAGGAAAUAUUGCUUCAACAUAUGUGUUUGAACAAGGAAAUAUUGCUCCCACAUAUGUGUUUGAACAAGGAUAUAUUGCUCCCACAUAUGUGUUUGAACAAGGAUAUAUUGCUCCCACAUAUGUGUUUGAACAAGGAUAUAUUGCUCCCACAUAUGUGUUUGAACAAGGAAAUAUUGCUCCCACAUAUGUGUUUGAACAAGGAUAUAUUGCUCCCACAUAUGUGUUUGAACAAGGAUAUAUUGCUCCCACAUAUGUGUUUGAACAAGGAAAUAUUGCUCCCACAUAUGUGUUUGAACAAGGAAAUAUUGCUCCCACAUAUGUGUUUGAACAAGGAUAUAUUGCUCCCACAUAUGUGUUUGAACAAGGAAAUAUUGCUCCCACAUAUGUGUUUGAACAAGGAUAUAUUGCUCCCACAUAUGUGAUUGAACAAGGAUAUAUUGCUCCCACAUAUGUGUUUGAACAAGGAUAUAUUGCUCCCACAUAUGUGUUUGAACAAGGAAAUAUUGCUCCCACAUAUGUGUUUGAACAAGGAUAUAUUGCUCCCACAUAUGUGUUUGAACAAGGAAAUAUUGCUCCCACAUAUGUGUUUGAACAAGGAUAUAUUGCUCCCACAUAUGUGUUUGAACAAGGAUAUAUUGCUCCCACAUAUGUGUUUGAACAAGGAUAUAUUGCUCCCACAUAUGUGUUUGAACAAGGAUAUAUUGCUCCCACA